rnacentral:rRNA from 1 species
UACGACUACAUAUCAGGCAUAUCAAUAAGCGGAGGAAAAGAAACUAACAAGGAUUCCCUUAGUAACGGCGAGUGAAGCGGGAAGAGCUCAAAUUUGAAAUCUUCAAGGGUUCUACCUUGACGAAUUGUAGUUUAUAGAAGUGUUUUCUGUUAGAGGAGGUAGCGUAAAAGUUCCUUGGAAUAGGGACAUCAUAGAGGGUGAGAAUCCCGUAUUUGAUUCAUUCUUUCUAACGUUGUGAUACACUUUCAAAGAGUCGGAUUGUUUGGGAAUGCAGUCCAAAAUGGGUGGUAAAUUUCAUCUAAAGCUAAAUAUUGGCGAGAGACCGAUAGCGAACAAGUACCGUGAGGGAAAGAUGAAAAGAACUUUGAAAAGAGAGUUAAACAGUACGUGAAAUUGUCAAAAGGGAAGCGUUUGACACCAGUGUUGUUUUUCCGAAAAUCAAUUAAGAAGGGCUUGAUUUUGUGUUGUAUUGACCUUAUCAGCUUUCUUCACUCUUUUUCGAGUCUUUCUUAAUGCACUUUUCGGUUAACAAGUCAACAUCAAUUUCUUUUGUUGUAAAAGGGUAUUUGGAAGGUGGCUUUCUUUUCGGAGAAAGUGUUUAUAGCCUUAUACCUCUACAAUCGGAGAGAUUGAGGUCUGCAGCGUAGAUCCUUCGGGGCUAGAUACACUUGUGCUAAGUUAUAGCUUUUCAUAGACAACUUGUUGACUAUGUUUAGUCAUGUAGCUUACCCGCUUGUGCUAUUUUACCUACGCUUAGGAUGUUGAUCUACAGAGCGAGAGU